CAUAGGUUUGGUCCCAGCCUUUCUAUUAGCCACUAGCAAAACUACACAUGCAAGUAUCCGCACUCCAGUGAGAAUGCCCUAUAUACCAUUAAACUAACGGUAGAAAGGAGCAGGUAUCAAGCACACCAUAAGGUAGCUCAUAACACCUUGCUCAACCACACCCCCACGGGUAACAGCAGUGACAAAAAUUAAGCAAUAAACAAAAGUUUGACUAAGUUAUGCUUAUUAGGGUUGGUAAAUUUCGUGCCAGCCACCGCGGCCAUACGAUAAACCCUAGUUAAUAGACCCACGGCGUAAAACGUGUUUAAGGCCUUCCCUUAUUAAAGUCAAAACCCAGCUAUGCCGUAGAAAGCCACAGCUGUCAUAAGAUCUACUACAAAAGUGACUUUAAAUUACCUGAAUACACGACAGCUAAGACCCAAACUGGGAUUAGAUACCCCACUAUGCUUAGCCAUAAACCUAAAGGAUCUAUCUAACAAGAUUCUUCGCCAGAGUACUACUAGCCAAAGCUUAAAACUCAAAGGACUUGGCGGUGCUUUAUAUCCCUCUAGAGGAGCCUGUUCUAUAAUCGAUAAACCCCGAUAAACCUCACCAACCCUUGCCUGCUCAGUCUAUAUACCGCCAUCUUCAGCAAACCCUAAAAAGGAGCCAAAGUAAGCUCAAUUAUAAUACAUAAAAACGUUAGGUCAAGGUGUAGCCUAUGGGUUGGAAAGAAAUGGGCUACAUUUCCUAGUCUCAGGAUAUUACUUAUUACAUACGAAAGCCCCUAUGAAAUCAAGGGCUGAAGGUGGAUUUAGCAGUAAACUAAGAAUAGAGAGCUUAGUUGAAUGAGGCCAUGAAGCACGCACACACCGCCCGUCACCCUCCUCAAAUAUAUAUUAGUGACCCAUAACCCUAUUUAAUAUUCACUAUCACUACCAGAGGAGAUAAGUCGUAACAAGGUAAGCGUACUGGAAAGUGCGCUUGGAUAACC
rnacentral:ncRNA from 1 species